AAAAGCGUAGACUGAGAAGUUAUUUCCUCUAUCAAUUUUCCUGUUACUAAGCUGAUUAUGUGUCUGGCAUUUCCUCAAACAACAUCAGAAGAUAGUAAGAAUUAUGGUGUUAAGGUAGCAGAUCUUUAUGAAUUUGAAAGUAAGAUUGAAAGGCACUCCACUUACUGAGAAUUAACAAAGAAGUAAUUUAUUUUUAUCAGCUUACAUGUACUUGGAUAGAUUUUCAGACAUCUGAAUCAUUUUAAUGAGGAUCAAGAAGAGAAGUUCCAGCAGAAUAUCAAAGUAAUGGAAUAAAGAUACUAUCGCAUAUGGAACACACAUGACGGUAAAUUACUGCUGGAAUCUCCGACACGAAACUUCCAUUGCAUAAAAAAAAGGAAAGUAUUAUAUGUGCUUUUCAAUGACUUAAUUGAACCAAUAUAUUUAGUUUUCAUUUUAUUCGAUUUAAUGUAUCAUCAUCAUGCAUUUUUAACACAUCAUUAUUAUUUUAGAAUGCCAUUAUAUUUAUCAAUUUUGAUUUGUUGAAAAUUAAUUCAUUCAUUAAUAUAUUUUUAAAUUUUAUUCUUUAACUGACAUUUGGUUCACAUUUCAUGCGAUUUCUAUAUUGGUUUAUUUUCUGAAAUAUGCAUUGAUUAUUCUUUAGGAUUAAGUUGAUUUAUUGUAUUGAUUUAAUUUUAUAAUUGAUUUUUAUUUUGGGCAGUUUCAAUGCUAUUCGAGUACUGCGUAUACGUUACUACUGAAAUUUAAAUAUCCCUUUAUCACAAAAACUAGAGCCAAUCUUACAACGGCAAUGCCACUUUUGGAUGCAAUGCCACUCAGCAUCACGAAAAUACACUAAAAUCACUAGAAUGUCUUUCGCAAUAAAAUCAGCAAUAGUUAAUAAACAUUCAAAGAAAUUUAUUUCGAAAUGCUACUGUAAAGUUAGGACGUGAGCGAUGUGGAAAUCGGCAUACUGCAUAAUGUUAGUAUUUCGAUCACACAACUAUCCAAUAAAAAUAUUUUUAAAGUACUUUUCUUGGGACAGACAUUUUUCGUAAAGAUGAUAUUAUUCGUCUUCAUACAAAAUGCUUAUAACAGUAGGAAAUGAGCCGCUUACUCAAAAAAAAAAAAAAAAUCGAAAUAAGUUUCUAAAUUUGUACUUAUUAUCUGCCAUAAGAAAAUUAACACUCAUCGAGCUGACCUUGUGCUUUAAAUACCGGAUUUCAAAACAGUUUUCAUAAUUUAAUUUAAGAGAAAAUUUCAUUCUGCCGUAAUGCAAGUCAAAUGUUUUAUAAUUAGAAAAAUUUUCGCUUUUAUGAGUCCAUUAUAUUCAUGAGGCCACAGUGUCAAGAUUUAAGUGAGUUCCACUUGAUCCAAUGUGCACAUAGAAGAUUAUCUGUUUUUAAUACACGAGGAAAAGAUAAAAUGUUAAUGGGCACUUGUUUAAACAUAUGACGUACAGCUGAUUUCCUAACGGCAUGUAUGUGCAGUAGUUCAGCCAUCAGUAUUAUGGACGACUAUCAAAUGAAUCUUCACUAUCAUGUCACCGGCCUUGAAAUCUAAUAACAAUUCAUAACAUAAAGUCGCCUACGUUUUUCAAGGUUGGAUUAGCACAGAUUCUUAAGCUUUUUUUCUUCCCAAGACCUCCUUUUUAUGGAAGGAAAAAAUUUCCAUUCCAUUUUCAUCGACGAAAGUUUAUCUCAACCUGAAAAUUAGAAAACAACUAAGAAACGAAACGAUAAUUUAUAAUAAAUUGAAAGUAAUUAAAUUCACAACAGUUUUUUUAAAAAUAAAUAUUGCUUUGACGUUUCCUAACUUUCCAGCUGUCAUAUGUUUUUGAAUUAUUAUUUGAAUGCAGUAUUUAGAAAAAGGUUCAAAAACUUUUGAAUCAAAGCGAGGAGCUGCAAUAAUGACAAGCAAAUACAAUAGGCUGCGGAAACCACGGAAUGUAGCAGAAAAUAAACUAAUUUCGCAGUUAAAGAAUUGAAAUCUGCUUAUCCUGUUUUAGCUUAUAAAUGCUAUUUUACUAUUAUCUUAAAAUUUGAACGUGAUUUGGAGAUUUGAUUGACGACUUUGACUAUUAAACGUAUGAACUAAGCUAAAAAAAAAAAAAAAAAAAAAAAAAAAAAACUGACAAGACGUGAAAGUCUUUGUGACAUAAAUGUUUCAUAUACCUUAUUUAGGGGCUCAUCUCAUAAUUUAUUAAACUAUGGAAAGAAUAAUUUUUUCUGGAGAAAAUAAUCUUUAAGAAUAAAAAGAAUAAUCCAAAGAAUAUUCUUUUUAUCAGAGAUAAUGCGCCAUUAGAAGAAAUCUUACUUUCAUUUAAAUAAAGAUAAAUUUAUUUCAAAUUUCGAAAUUGUAGGCGAAGGGUUUGUUUGUCUUAAGAAAAAUAAUUCAACACAUUUAUAUAUCAGAUACAAUUAUCAAGA